rnacentral:misc_RNA from 1 species
UACAUUUUGCAAUAGUUGAGCUUUAAUCUGUGUAUAUACACAUGGACAUUCAACCGCGGUAUAAACCUUCGUGGCGCAAGUGAGACAGCUUCUGCAGCGAUGUGGUUUACAAGGCUGACUGUCAGUUUUACAGUCAUUCUGAUGCUCGCCCUCACAGUCAUGGUGGAGUAAGUAGUGUUAUCAUUGCAUCCACCUGGAGCAUCCACGGAGCUACACCCGAAGAUUGUGCGAACCUAAAAUGCAAUGCACCUGGCGACCCUGCGUGCCUACCCGAGUGCGAGUGCGUCUUUAUGGGCAACGGAUACGGCUGCGUCCCGGUAGUGAACUGGAGGUCAAGAAUGAAACAUCCAAGAUUCAGGCUGCCACUCCAACGUAGAAGACAACGCCCGCUGUGGCUGGUAAAUAUAUGAAAACUAUGCCAAUAAAAAUCAGAGCGAUUC